CGUCCGUUCGCUUCAGGUUACAGUUUUUGGUCAAGGUAGUUUUUGAAGAAGUUGAAGUCCAAUCAACUUGAAACUUAGUACACAUGUUCCCCAUGAUAUGAUCUUUCUAAUUUUAAUGCCAAAUUAUAGUUUUGACCCCAAUCUCAUGGUCCACUGAACAUAGAAAAUGAUAGUGCGAAGUUCAGGUUAAAGUUUUUGGUCAAGGUAGUUUUUGAUGAAGUUGAAGUCCAAUCAACUUGAAACUUAGUACACAUGAUCCCCAUGAUAUGAUCUUUCUAAUUUUAAUGCCAAAUUAUAGUUUUGACCCCAAUUUCAUG
rnacentral:lncRNA from 1 species